UACGUAGGGUGCGAGCGUUGUCCGGAAUUAUUGGGCGUAAAGAGCUCGUAGGUGGCUGAGUAAGUCGGAUGUUAAAUCCCCAGGCUCAACCUGGGACACCACCCGAUACUGCCGGGCUAGAGUCCGGAAGAGGCGAGUGGAACUCCUGGUGUAGCGGUGGAAUGCGCAGAUAUCAGGAAGAACACCAACGGCGAAGGCAGCUCGCUGGGACGGAACUGACGCUAAGGCGCGAAAGCGUGGGGAGCGAACAGG
rnacentral:rRNA from 1 species